AAGAAAUCCAAUAGAAAUAUUAAAAUAAUCAAAAAUAUAUAUUACAUAAAUUUUAAUCAAGUUUCAAUUUAAUCCUAAUUGAAAUCCUAAUAGACUUCAAUCAAACCUUAGAUCAAAUCUUAAAUCUUAAGUAAACAUCAAAUCCUAAAUCAAAUCCUAAGAUAAAUUAGAAUCUUAAUAUCUACUAAUUAAACCAUUGAUCUAGCUUGAAAAUUUACAUAUCUCUCAAUCUCUUAGUUAAAAAAUAGUAUACAAAAUUUAAACACAAUAGCACUUACCAAAUAGAAGAAAAAUCCUAAAACUCGCUUGGGUAUUGGCUAGCCUCUUAUUUCAAUCUGAAUGUUGAACUUCUAGUGCCAAUAUCUCCUUUUUAAACCAUUCAAUUGUUUUCAAAUUUUACAAAUGUGUAGAAAAUUAAGUCUAUCAUCUUUAUAUAUAAAUUUUACUCUAAUCCAACUAGUAGAUUACUGAAGAU
rnacentral:lncRNA from 1 species